rnacentral:rRNA from 1 species
UACGUAGGGUGCAAGCGUUGUCCGGAUUUAUUGGGCGUAAAGAGCUCGUAGGCGGUCUGUCGCGUCGGAUAUGAAAACCCAGGGCUCAACCCUGGGCCUGCAUUCGAUACGGGCAGACUAGAGUGUGGCAGGGGAGACUGGAAUUCCUGGUGUAGCGGUGAAAUGCGCAGAUAUCAGGAGGAACACCGGUGGCGAAGGCGGGUCUCUGGGCCUGUACUGACGCUGAGGAGCGAAAGCGUGGGGAGCGAACAGG